rnacentral:misc_RNA from 1 species
UAUCCGUAGGUGAACCUGCGGAAGGAUCAUUACUGAGUGAGGGCCCCUCGGGGUCCAACCUCCCACCCGUGUUUAACGAACCUUGUUGCUUCGGCGGGCCCGCCUCACGGCCGCCGGGGGGCAUCUGCCCCCGGGCCCGCGCCCGCCGAAGCCGCCUGUGAACGCUGUCUGAAGUAUGCAGUCUGAGACAAUUAUUAAAUUAAUUAAAACUUUCAACAACGGAUCUCUUGGUUCCG